UAGAGAAUACCAAGGCGCUUGAGAGAACUCGGGUGAAGGAACUAGGCAAAAUGGUGCCGUAACUUCGGGAGAAGGCACGCUGAUAUGUAGGUGAAGCGACUUGCUCGUGGAGCUGAAAUCAGUCGAAGAUACCAGCUGGCUGCAACUGUUUAUUAAAAACACAGCACUGUGCAAACACGAAAGUGGACGUAUACGGUGUGACGCCUGCCCGGUGCCGGAAGGUUAAUUGAUGGGGUUAGCGGUAACGCGAAGCUCUUGAUCGAAGCCCCGGUAAACGGCGGCCGUAACUAUAACGGUCCUAAGGUAGCGAAAUUCCUUGUCGGGUAAGUUCCGACCUGCACGAAUGGCGUAAUGAUGGCCAGGCUGUCUCCACCCGAGACUCAGUGAAAUUGAACUCGCUGUGAAGAUGCAGUGUACCCGCGGCAAGACGGAAAGACCCCGUGAACCUUUACUAUAGCUUGACACUGAACAUUGAGCCUUGAUGUGUAGGAUAGGUGGGAGGCUUUGAAGUGUGGACGCCAGUCUGCAUGGAGCCGACCUUGAAAUACCACCCUUUAAUGUUUGAUGUUCUAACGUUGGCCCGUAAUCCGGGUUGCGGACAGUGUCUGGUGGGUAGUUUGACUGGGGCGGUCUCCUCCUAAAGAGUAACGGAGGAGCACGAAGGUUGGCUAAUCCUGGUCGGACAUCAGGAGGUUAGUGCAAUGGCAUAAGCCAGCUUGACUGCGAGCGUGACGGCGCGAGCAGGUGCGAAAGCAGGUCAUAGUGAUCCGGUGGUUCUGAAUGGAAGGGCCAUCGCUCAACGGAUAAAAGGUACUCCGGGGAUAACAGGCUGAUACCGCCCAAGAGUUCAUAUCGACGGCGGUGUUUGGCACCUCGAUGUCGGCUCAUCACAUCCUGGGGCUGAAGUAGGUCCCAAGGGUAUGGCUGUUCGCCAUUUAAAGUGGUACGCGAGCUGGGUUUAGAACGUCGUGAGACAGUUCGGUCCCUAUCUGCCGUGGGCGCUGGAGAACUGAGGGGGGCUGCUCCUAGUACGAGAGGACCGGAGUGGACGCAUCACUGGUGUUCGGGUUGUCAUGCCAAUGGCACUGCCCGGUAGCUAAAUGCGGAAGAGAUAAGUGCUGAAAGCAUCUAAGCACGAAACUUGCCCCGAGAUGAGUUCUCCCUGACUCCUUGAGAGUCCUGAAGGAACGUUGAAGACGACGACGUUGAUAGGCCGGGUGUGUAAGCGCAGCGAUGCGUUGAGCUAACCGGUACUAAUGAACCGUGAGGCUUAACCUUACAACGCCGAAG
rnacentral:rRNA from 1 species